UACGGGGGGAGCAAGCGUUGUUCGGAUUUACUGGGCGUAAAGGGCGCGUAGGCGGUCGUGACAAGUCACUUGUGAAAUCUCCGGGCUUAACUCGGAACGGUCAAGUGAUACUGUCGGACUAGAGUACAGAAGGGGCAACUGGAAUUCUCGGUGUAGCGGUGAAAUGCGUAGAUAUUGGGAAGAACACCGAUGGCGAAGGCAGCCAUCUGGACCGACACUGACGCUGAGGCGCGAAAGCGUGGGGAGCAACAGG
rnacentral:rRNA from 1 species